rnacentral:lncRNA from 10 species
CAAGGAGAAUGGAUGUCUGUAAUACAGACUGCAUUUUAAAAUUGGACUGGCAUGUGACUUAGUGAUAAAAGUGAAGGUCUGUUUUCUAUUUAGCUUAAAUUUUUAGCUUCCCAGGAAGACAUCCUAUAAAGUUUUGACAUAUAAAAAUAACCAGAAGCAGAAGACACUUUUAUUUGGCAUCAAACCAUGCACUUAUUUCUUGGGGUUAACUGACAGCAGUCAAUUAUUUCCAGGAUCGCAUUAUCCUGCCUUGUACUACAAAACACCAAGAAAUAAGUGGAAUGAUUGGCAAACUCAACACCUUGAAAGGGCAAAUUGCUAUUCAUCUAGAUUGAGGUUCACUUUCAGCUACAGAACUUGGUUUGUGUACAUUUGCUUUGAGGUGGAUCGAAGGCCUCUUGGCAAAAAUUAAUGAAGUCCUGCUCUCUAAAACUGAUACCUUCAAGCCGAAAAAGCCCCUCAAAAGAAAAAGAAGUCUGCUGCUCAGAUGCUUAGUAGAAAAGAAACAGGUAACACAAUGUAUCUAAAAAAGGACUUAAAAAAUCCAGAAAUCUUUAAUAAGAGAGUUCAAUUUCUAUGCCUUAGGUUUAAUUAAAGUAUAAUAUCAGGGGCUGGAUUCACUGUUGAGCUCCAAACUAUCCUGGCCAUAGUCUAUUUUGAUUGGGAAAUGCUAGUAUCUUCCUCUCAAAUAAAAAUGCUGAGGGGGCUGGAAGAACAUUUCCUAAUAACAGCUUCUCUUGAGUAGGUGGUAUGAGAUCUUUGAGGGACGUCCACCAAACAGAUGGACUGAUGGGACUGGGUAUCUCCAGUUAGGAAGAUGAUGGGAGUUAACUCAACGAUCAAGGCUGCAAACUCAAGUAUCUCCUGGGACUAGAGGUUUUCUUAAGAGUUUCAAAAAUUCAUAUGUAUAAGUCACCUGAUAUUAAAGCUUUAAUCUAUUUUCUCCAUUUUAAUAUUAUACAUGGCUGGGCGUGGUGCACACCAGUAAUCCCAGCACUUUGGGAGGCCGAGGCGGGUGGAUUACUUGAGGUCAGGAGUUCCAGACCAGCGUGACCAACAUGGUGAAACCCCAUCUCUACUAAAAAACAUAUACAAAAUUAGCUGGGCAUGGUAGUGCACGCCUGUAAUCCCAGCUACUUGGGAGGCUGAGGCAGAAGAAUCGCUU